rnacentral:rRNA from 1 species
AUUGAACGCUAUCGGGAUGCCUAACACAUGCAAGUCGAGCGGAGUGGCGAACGGGUGAGUAAUGUAACGGAACGUGACCAGUAGCGGGGGAUAACUACACGAAAGCGUAGCUAAUACCGCAUACUAUUUGAGCGGCCGAUAUCGGAUUAGCUAGUUGGUGGGGUAAAGGCGAAAAAAGGCGACGAUCCGUAGCUGGUUUGAGAGGAAGACCAGCCACACUGUGACUGAGACACGGUCCAGACUCCGACGGGUGUCAGCAGUGGGGAAUUUUGGACGAUGGGGGAAAGCCGGAUCCAGCCAUCCCGCGUGUGCGAUGAAGGGCGUCGGGUUGUAAAGCACUUUUAGCAGGAAAGCGGUACCUGCAGAAUAAGCACCGGCUAACUACGUGCCAGCAGCCGCGGUAAUAC